GCACCACAACGGGUGGAGCCUGCGGUUUAAUUGGACUCAACGCCGGGCAGCUCACCGGAUAAGACAGCUGGAUGAUAGCCGGGCUGAAGACUCUGCUUGACUAGCUGAGAGGAGGUGCAUGGCCGUCGUCAGUUCGUACUGUGAAGCAUCCUGUUAAGUCAGGCAACGAGCGAGACCCACGCCAACAGUUGCCAGCAUGUCCUCCGGGAUGAUGGGGACACUGUUGGGACCGCCUCUGCUAAAGAGGAGGAAGGAAUGGGCAACGGUAGGUCGGCAUGCCCCGAAUUAUCCGGGCUACACGCGGGCUACAAUGGUCAGGACAAUGGGUAUCGACACCGAGAGGUGGAGGCAAUCUCCUAAACCUGUCCUUAGUUCGGAUUGUGGGCUGCAACUCGCCCACAUGAAGCUGGAAUCCGUAGUAAUCGCGUUUCAAAAUAGCGCGGUGAAUAUGUCCCUGCUCCUU
rnacentral:rRNA from 1 species